CUUGGCAUACAUUCUGAGUAAACUCUCUCUGGAAGGAACUGGUGUGCUAGUCUUUCUUUCCUGCUGGUCAGGAGAUUGGUUCGGCACAAUUGGUGGUCCGUACGGGGAGCUCCGAGUUCUUCGCAUCCCCGGGAGUUCCAGAACCUGUUGAGAGUCAGAGCAAGCUCUUGGUACAUGACUGAGUAUUUCUGAGAGUGUGGACAAAGAAGAGGACCAUGGAGACCAAGCAUUGGACAAAUUGACCUCCUCCACCUUAAGGGCUAUGCUGUGCCUCCUCAUCAGUCUUACCCACAAUGCACCUGAAAUCACAUGUCUGGUCCCAGUCCAAGGAUGGAUCCUUCUGCAAAGAGCCUAAACUCUGGAAAUGGUUUUAAAACUUCAACGGCAGCUUUGUAAAGGCAGGUGCUCGUGAUGCAGAUAGAUGUUACCAGUGGAUGGUAUUUUUCCUACCUCAACUUAAAAAAGCUACUUUUCUGAAAACCAUGUUAUAGAACCCUAAAAGCAUUGAUCUCACAGGUUCUGCCUCGCCAUGUGGAAAGGGCCCCUGGUUAAAAACUUCUGCCCACCAAUGCUACGGAGAGCACCACAGCUAACCAGCCAAUCGGUGCAAAGAGGCAGUCGUACUUUAACAACAUUUAAAUAAUCACACUGCUACAAUCUUUCUUAAAGCGAUAACAAUUUUUGAUUGUUAGAGGAAAAAAGGUUUCCUGUUAAUAAGUAGAAUGCAUGCGAAGAAUCUCCCCCUGUUUCCAAAUUUAACGGGGCCCUCAGGGCUUUCAAAGGCUGAGGAUGAGAAGUCCAGUGUCUUAAGCCCACAAUGGCAGAAUCUAGAAACACACCAGCUCCUAUGUGUGUGUGUGUGUGUGUGUGUGUGUGUGUGUAUGCAUGUGCAUAUGCAGGGAGAGUGUACUGGCUAGUUUUGUGUGCCAACUUGACAUAG